rnacentral:rRNA from 2 species
AGAGUUUGAUCCUGGCUCAGGACGAACGCUGGCGGCGUGCCUAAUACAUGCAAGUCGAACGAACUCUGGUAUUGAUUGGUGCUUGCAUCAUGAUUUACAUUUGAGUGAGUGGCGAACUGGUGAGUAACACGUGGGAAACCUGCCCAGAAGCGGGGGAUAACACCUGGAAACAGAUGCUAAUACCGCAUAACAACUUGGACCGCAUGGUCCGAGUUUGAAAGAUGGCUUCGGCUAUCACUUUUGGAUGGUCCCGCGGCGUAUUAGCUAGAUGGUGGGGUAACGGCUCACCAUGGCAAUGAUACGUAGCCGACCUGAGAGGGUAAUCGGCCACAUUGGGACUGAGACACGGCCCAAACUCCUACGGGAGGCAGCAGUAGGGAAUCUUCCACAAUGGACGAAAGUCUGAUGGAGCAACGCCGCGUGAGUGAAGAAGGGUUUCGGCUCGUAAAACUCUGUUGUUAAAGAAGAACAUAUCUGAGAGUAACUGUUCAGGUAUUGACGGUAUUUAACCAGAAAGCCACGGCUAACUACGUGCCAGCAGCCGCGGUAAUACGUAGGUGGCAAGCGUUGUCCGGAUUUAUUGGGCGUAAAGCGAGCGCAGGCGGUUUUUUAAGUCUGAUGUGAAAGCCUUCGGCUCAACCGAAGAAGUGCAUCGGAAACUGGGAAACUUGAGUGCAGAAGAGGACAGUGGAACUCCAUGUGUAGCGGUGAAAUGCGUAGAUAUAUGGAAGAACACCAGUGGCGAAGGCGGCUGUCUGGUCUGUAACUGACGCUGAGGCUCGAAAGUAUGGGUAGCAAACAGGAUUAGAUACCCUGGUAGUCCAUACCGUAAACGAUGAAUGCUAAGUGUUGGAGGGUUUCCGCCCUUCAGUGCUGCAGCUAACGCAUUAAGCAUUCCGCCUGGGGAGUACGGCCGCAAGGCUGAAACUCAAAGGAAUUGACGGGGGCCCGCACAAGCGGUGGAGCAUGUGGUUUAAUUCGAAGCUACGCGAAGAACCUUACCAGGUCUUGACAUACUAUGCAAAUCUAAGAGAUUAGACGUUCCCUUCGGGGACAUGGAUACAGGUGGUGCAUGGUUGUCGUCAGCUCGUGUCGUGAGAUGUUGGGUUAAGUCCCGCAACGAGCGCAACCCUUAUUAUCAGUUGCCAGCAUUAAGUUGGGCACUCUGGUGAGACUGCCGGUGACAAACCGGAGGAAGGUGGGGAUGACGUCAAAUCAUCAUGCCCCUUAUGACCUGGGCUACACACGUGCUACAAUGGAUGGUACAACGAGUUGCGAACUCGCGAGAGUAAGCUAAUCUCUUAAAGCCAUUCUCAGUUCGGAUUGUAGGCUGCAACUCGCCUACAUGAAGUCGGAAUCGCUAGUAAUCGCGGAUCAGCAUGCCGCGGUGAAUACGUUCCCGGGCCUUGUACACACCGCCCGUCACACCAUGAGAGUUUGUAACACCCAAAGUCGGUGGGGUAACCUUUUAGGAACCAGCCGCCUAAGGUGGGACAGAUGAUUAGGGUGAAGUCGUAACAAGGUAGCCGUAG